GCUUUAACAUGGAGGUACCUGCUGCCUAAAAAAAGUAAGUGCUUCCAUGUUUCAGUGG
rnacentral:pre_miRNA from 1 species